rnacentral:rRNA from 1 species
UGCCAGCAGCCGCGGUAAGACGGAGGGCGCAAGCGUUGUUCGGAAUUACUGGGCGUAAAGCGCGGGCAGGUGGUCCGUUAAGUCGUCUGUGAAAACCCGAGGCUCAACCUCGUGGAAUGCAGGCGAUACUGGCGGACUAGAGAUCGGUAGAGGCUAGCGGAAUUCCUGGUGUAGCGGUGGAAUGCGUAGAUAUCAGGAAGAACACCCGUGGCGAAGGCGGCUAGCUGGGCCGAGUCUGACACUCAUCCGCGAAAGCGUGGGGAGCAAACAGGAUUAGAUA